rnacentral:pre_miRNA from 1 species
AACUUUCCGAAUCCGUACUGAUAUUUCGUCAGACACCAACCCAUUAGGGCUGAUCUGACUUACAAGAUGAAUGAAGUU